rnacentral:rRNA from 1 species
UACAGAGGGUGCGAGCGUUAAUCGGAAUUACUGGCGUAAAGCGUGCGUAGACGGUUAUUAAGUCGGGUGUGAAAGCCCCGGGCUCAACCUGGGAAUUGCAUUCGAGACUGAAUAGCUAGGGUACGGUAGAGGGAAGCGGAAUUUCCGGUGUAGCGGUGAAAUGCGUAGAUAUCGGAAGGAACAUCAGUGGCGAAAGCGGCUUCCUGGACCAGUACCGACGUUCAGGCACGAAAGCGUGGGGAGCAAACAGGA